UACAGAGGGGGCAAGCGUUGUUCGGAAUUACUGGGCGUAAAGGGCGCGUAGGCGGCCUGUUAAGUCGAACGUGAAAUCCCCGGGCUCAACCCGGGAACUGCGUCCGAUACUGGCGGGCUUGAAUCCGGGAGAGGGAUGCGGAAUUCCAGGUGUAGCGGUGAAAUGCGUAGAUAUCUGGAGGAACACCGGUGGCGAAGGCGGCAUCCUGGACCGGCAUUGACGCUGAGGCGCGAAAGCUAGGGGAGCAAACGGG
rnacentral:rRNA from 1 species